GAACGCUGGCGGCAGGCCUAACACAUGCAAGUCGAACGGUAACAGGAAGCAGCUUGCUGCUUUGCUGACGAGUGGCGGACGGGUGAGUAAUGUCUGGGAAACUGCCCGAUGGAGGGGGAUAACUACUGGAAACGGUAGCUAAUACCGCAUAACGUCGCAAGACCAAAGAGGGGGACCUUAGGGCCUCUUGCCAUCGGAUGUGCCCAGAUGGGAUUAGCUAGUAGGUGGGGUAACGGCUCACCUAGGCGACGAUCCCUAGCUGGUCUGAGAGGAUGACCAGCCACACUGGAACUGAGACACGGUCCAGACUCCUACGGGAGGCAGCAGUGGGGAAUAUUGCACAAUGGGCGCAAGCCUGAUGCAGCCAUGCCGCGUGUAUGAAGAAGGCCUUCGGGUUGUAAAGUACUUUCAGCGGGGAGGAAGGGAGUAAAGUUAAUACCUUUGCUCAUUGACGUUACCCGCAGAAGAAGCACCGGCUAACUCCGUGCCAGCAGCCGCGGUAAUACGGAGGGUGCAAGCGUUAAUCGGAAUUACUGGGCGUAAAGCGCACGCAGGCGGUUUGUUAAGUCAGAUGUGAA
rnacentral:rRNA from 1 species